UGAGUGAGAUGUCUUGGUGACCAUGACACAAACUUAGACUCUGUCAACAUUUCAUUCAUUCUUCCCCUCCCCCCCCCCCCUUAUUUUUCUCCUCAUUAUCUUACUGUGAAGAAAUGGUAAAGCUAUCUCCAUACCUUUGUUAUGCAUUUCUUGUAUCAACAGGUGUUAAAGAAAAUAUUUUUUUAUUUUGCAAGCUCACUGAAGUCCUCCGUUUCCUGAAUUUAUAGUGCUUGACUCGGGAUAAAGCAUCCUUAGCUAAUUUUCACCCUUGCUUCCCUCUCUCCCACAGACACAUGCACAUUACAUUUCUAUUUCUAUUUUAAUGUAAUUUCCUUCUCGAGGAACAUUUUCCCAAACAAUUUCUUAAGCUCCUCAAAUGAAAUGCUGUACUGUGCUAGAGAUAUAACAUUUGGUCUUCAUAUUCCCCAGGACAGAAGUGAGACUGGUGAGGCCACAGAGAGGAGCUGGUGAGGACCUCCCACUGCUGCCUAUGGGACUUAGGACCCUGGGCCUUGUGUAAAGAGCAGUGAUGGAUGCCAAGGACCCAGCCAGAAGUGGGCAGGGGCAGGAGCAUCUCUGGUUCCUUUCCUCAGACUCCAGACACUGCAGUGUGACAGCUAAACCAAGGAGCAUCGGAUGCAAUGGAAUUGCUCUACAAGCAACCUUGCCAAAGGCCCUUUUGCUGCACAAAGCUGGCUCUAUCUUUGUAUAUUGAGGGAACUAAAUCAAUGUUAAAUGCUUGGCUCUUUUCACAGGACAAUGACCAGGACCUAAGCUGCGUCCUUCCUAUUUGAUUGACACUUGAAACGUUGAGUUGGAAUCAGCCAGAGGCACUGCUACAAGCUUGAAGCCUCUGCUGGGGAUAACAACUGGUGACAUCUGCAGAAAGGCCGACAAAAGGCAGUUGAAAGCCGUGUUUGUUGCUUUCCCCUCUCAGAUCUCCUCUCUUUCAUGGAGCUCCUUACUUGCUUUAAUAUUAUGAUUCAGCACCUGGCUCUUUUGAACCUUGCUUUAAACUUCAAAAG
rnacentral:lncRNA from 1 species